UGAGUGUUGAUUUUUGCUCAUGAGAUAAACUUUUAUUCUGCAGAAAUGGAUGCAGCUUGCAGCCAGGAAAGGAGAUGAAUACGCAUCUGUCAUCCUCCCAUUCCUCUCUGCCACGAAAAAUAUGAAUUUAAUUUAAUUGGAACUGAAAUUGAAACCAAGACUUUCACGCAAUCACAAACCCUUAGAAAAAGCUGCCAGAACUGCUCCCACUGUGCAAACUACAGAAGCCUCAGAUGAAGUGAAAGUCAUCCCUUAAUCAGCUGCCUUAUACAACUUUCAGCCACCUGUGCUACAGAUCUGGGAAGGAGUUCAGGUUAACUGGCACACCGUAAGCAAGAGGUUUUGGAGGACUUUCUAUCUUUGCAUCAUUCACUGUCCAUUGCCUAAACCUCAGGAGACAGUAUUAUCUGAUAUCUCCACAUUUCAUUUGGUAGAAGUAAUGUCCAACUUCUGCUACUCCAGGGAACAAAUAUGCAUGACAGUCAAAGCA
ensembl:lncRNA